CUUCAGUAUGUGAAUGUGCAUGUUGCUCACCCAUUUCUAUUCCUGUUUUUUGUUGUUGUUCUUGUUCACUUUUACACAAUUUUAAACAUCGACACGGUUGUGACCGAUAGAGUAUUUUUAGCGUGACCAGCUCUGAUGCUUCCUGUGCACACAUGUUCAAAAAAACACACAUUUGCUGCAGGCAAAACGCGCUGGUAUUUUUAGAAAUUUUAUCUUUUCCAUUCCGACUGUUGUCAGUAUUGAUUUUCCCUCUGCCUGGAACGCACCGAACAGGCGCGUUUGCGUAGCGCACUUGUGAACAAAGCAAAACCACCCGGGGACCUAACACCAAGUACUUUGUGUACAAUGAGCGAAACUAGAAAUUUGAUGACUACCUUUUUGAUCCUAAUUUUUCUACUUCUGCUACUGUAUCUCGUAUACGAAGGCUUCUAUCAGCCAGAAAUGUAGUUUAAACGGUCAUUUGUUAUUAUGUUCUAUACGUACUUUUACGGCUGCCCAACAAACUGGUGAUGAUUUGUCAAAAGACAAAACAGUCAUACAAUUUAUUUGAAUUCUGAAUCUAAACUGACGCAAAAACGUUUGGUUUGUUGGUGAUUUUUGGGACAUGGCUUUCAUACCAGCGAAUCAAAAGUAAUAUAUCACGCGUGCACGCACACGCACCUUCAUAGAACUUUCUGUGGCACUAUCUAGCACUACCAACCAACCGAACCCUAAGAUCACAAACUUCGCCAAAAAUGAUGGAACGCAUGACGAUGGUGGAUUCUCUGUUAAAACUUGACUUAAAUGUCAAGCUGGGAAACCACAUAGGGUCCAACUGUUUCCAACUCAUCAUCAACCAUUAUCCGCCCGAAUCGUUUAGCGGCAGCAGAAUGAAGAAGGACGAUAAAAUUACCAAGGAUAAAAUGAUGGACCGAAAAGUUAGACACCCUACCGCAUCGUUUUCUACCAAAUCCAUCAUUAUGAAUCUUGUAAUAGCAUUUUUUCUCUAUUUGCUGAGACGCACCAUAGAAGCUGGUGGGAAAAGCGCCAUAACAAAGUAUAGUAAAUUUAUCAAAUAAAUUGCCCUUCUGUGCCGUUUGAAUGGAAUACCAAUAAAAUUGUUAUGCCAGUCGUUAGUCGUAUUUUUA